UACGUAGGGAGCAAGCGUUGUCCGGAUUCACUGGGUGUAAAGGGUGCGCAGGCGGAUUGGUAAGUCAGGGGUGAAAUCUCACGGCUUAACCGUGAAAUUGCCUUUGAUACUGCCAAUCUUGAGUUCGGGAGAGGUCGAUGGAAUUCCAGGUGUAGCGGUGAAAUGCGUAGAGAUCAGCAGGAACACCCGUGGCGAAGGCGGCCCCCUGGGCCGUACCUGACGCUGAGGCGCGAAGGCUAGGGGAGCGAACGGG
rnacentral:rRNA from 1 species